rnacentral:rRNA from 1 species
AUGAAGUCGGAAUUGCUAGUAAUCGCGGAUCAGCAUGCCGCGGUGAAUACGUUCCCGGGCCUUGUACACACCGCCCGUCACACCAUGAGAGCCGGUAACACCCGAAGUCAGUAGCCUAACCGCAAGGAGGGCGCUGCCGAAGGUGGGAUUGGUAAUUGGGGUGAAGUCGUAACAAGGUAGC